UACGGAGGGUGCAAACGUUGCUCGGAAUCAUUGGGCGUAAAGCGCACGUAGGUGGCCUGUUAAGUCGGGUGUGAAAUCCCUGGGCUCAACCCAGGAAGUGCACUCGAAACUGGCAGGCUUGAGUACUGAAGAGGGUUGCGGAAUUCCACGUGUAGCGGUGAAAUGCGUAGAGAUGUGGAGGAACACCAGUGGCGAAGGCGGCUCUCUGGUCUGUAACUGACGCUGAGGCGCGAAAGCGUGGGGAGCAAACAGG
rnacentral:rRNA from 1 species